rnacentral:rRNA from 2 species
GGGCAACCUGCCUGUAAGACUGGGAUAACUCCGGGAAACCGGGGCUAAUACCGGAUAAUUCUUUCCCUCACAUGAGGGAAAGCUGAAAGAUGGUUUCGGCUAUCACUUACAGAUGGGCCCGCGGCGCAUUAGCUAGUUGGUGAGGUAACGGCUCACCAAGGCAACGAUGCGUAGCCGACCUGAGAGGGUGAUCGGCCACACUGGGACUGAGACACGGCCCAGACUCCUACGGGAGGCAGCAGUAGGGAAUCUUCCGCAAUGGACGAAAGUCUGACGGAGCAACGCCGCGUGAGUGAUGAAGGUUUUCGGAUCGUAAAACUCUGUUGUUAGGGAAGAACAAGUACCGGAGUAACUGCCGGUACCUUGACGGUACCUAACCAGAAAGCCACGGCUAACUACGUGCCAGCAGCCGCGGUAAUACGUAGGUGGCAAGCGUUGUCCGGAAUUAUUGGGCGUAAAGCGCGCGCAGGCGGUUCCUUAAGUCUGAUGUGAAAGCCCCCGGCUCAACCGGGGAGGGUCAUUGGAAACUGGGGAACUUGAGUGCAGAAGAGAAGAGUGGAAUUCCACGUGUAGCGGUGAAAUGCGUAGAGAUGUGGAGGAACACCAGUGGCGAA